AGUGAACGCUGGCGGUAGGCCUAACACAUGCAAGUCGAACGGCAGCAUAGUAAGAGCUUGCUCUUACGGGUGGCGAGUGGCGGACGGGUGAGGAAUACAUCGGAAUCUACUUUUUCGUGGGGGAUAACGUAGGGAAACUUACGCUAAUACCGCAUACGACCUACGGGUGAAAGCAGGGGAUCUUCGGACCUUGCGCGAUUGAAUGAGCCGAUGUCGGAUUAGCUAGUUGGCGGGGUAAAGGCCCACCAAGGCGACGAUCCGUAGCUGGUCUGAGAGGAUGAUCAGCCACACUGGAACUGAGACACGGUCCAGACUCCUACGGGAGGCAGCAGUGGGGAAUAUUGGACAAUGGGCGCAAGCCUGAUCCAGCCAUACCGCGUGGGUGAAGAAGGCCUUCGGGUUGUAAAGCCCUUUUGUUGGGAAAGAAAAGCAGCAGGUUAAUACCCCGCUGUUCUGACGGUACCCAAAGAGUAAGCACCGGCUAACUUCGUG
rnacentral:rRNA from 1 species